rnacentral:rRNA from 1 species
UACGUAGGGGGCAAGCGUUAUCCGAAUUUACUGGGUGUAAAGGGAGCGUAGACGGCGAUGCAAGCCAGAUGUGAAAGCCCGGGGCUCAACCCCGGGACUGCAUUUGGAACUGUGUGGCUGGAGUGUCGGAGAGGCAAGUGGAAUUCCUAGUGUAGCGGUGAAAUGCGUAGAUAUUAGGAGGAACACCAGUGGCGAAGGCGGCUUGCUGGACGAUGACUGACGUUGAGGCUCGAAAGCGUGGGGAGCAAACAGG